UACGAAGGGGGCUAGCGUUGCUCGGAAUCACUGGGCGUAAAGGGUGCGUAGGCGGGUCUUUAAGUCAGGGGUGAAAUCCUGGAGCUCAACUCCAGAACUGCCUUUGAUACUGAAGAUCUUGAGUUCGGGAGAGGGAAGCGGAAUUCCGGGUGUAGCGGUGAAAUGCGCAGAUAUCGGGAGGAACACCGGUGGCGAAGGCGGCAUCCUGGACCGGCAUUGACGCUGAGGCGCGAAAGCGUGGGGAGCAAACAGG
rnacentral:rRNA from 1 species